rnacentral:rRNA from 1 species
UUAAACUAUUAAAUAAAAGUUAAUUUAUUCAAUAAAAAUAAAAUAGAAAGGUUAAAAUAAUUUAUAUAAAAAAAUAAUUUUUAAUGGUGAAAUAUAAAAAAUUAUAAAUUUAUAUAAUUAAAUAUAAUAUAAUUUAAAAGUUUAUAGAAUAAACUAGGAUUAGAUACCCUAUUAUAGUAAAAUAAAAAUUUUAAUAUUAAAGUAUUAAAUGUUAAAUCAUUAAAUUUAUAAGAUUUGGCGGUAUUUUAUACAAAUUAGGGGAACUUGUUUAGUAAUUGAUGAACCACGAUAAGAUUUACUUAAUUUAAUAUUUAUGUAUUGCUGUUUAAAAAUGUAUUUUAAGAAUAUAAAUUAUAAGUUAAAAAUUUAAAGUAAUUCAAGUCAAAAUAUAGUUUAGUUAAGAUAAAAUGAGUUACAAAAAAAUAAAUUUAUAUGGAUUUUUUAUAUUUAAAAAUAAAAUGAAGGUGGAUUUAAGAGUAAAUUUAAUAAAUAAAUUAAUUUGAAAUUUUGUUUUAAAAU